UACAGAGGGUGCAAGCGUUAAUCGGAAUUACUGGGCGUAAAGCGCGCGUAGGUGGUUCGUUAAGUUGGAUGUGAAAUCCCCGGGCUCAACCUGGGAACUGCAUUCAAAACUGUCGAGCUAGAGUAUGGUAGAGGGUGGUGGAAUUUCCUGUGUAGCGGUGAAAUGCGUAGAUAUAGGAAGGAACACCAGUGGCGAAGGCGACCACCUGGACCAAUACUGACGCUCAUGUGCGAAAGCGUGGGGAGCAAACAGG
rnacentral:rRNA from 1 species